rnacentral:hammerhead_ribozyme from 1 species
GCACCGCUGAAGAGUCCCAUACUAGGACGAAAUGGGCAUCCAGUAC